GGGUCCGGACACACUGAGGAUUGACAGGUAUUAUCAAUAAUUAUUUUUGCAUUUUUAUGUUAAAAAUUCAAUUAUUGUGUUAAAUAUGCUAGUCCUUUCAUGAUUAUGUGAUAGGUGGUGCAUGGCCGUUCUUAGUUCGUGGAGUGAUCUGUCUGCUUAAUUGCGUUUCACUAAGGGCUUAAAAUUAUGUGCUUUAAUAUUGACCCCUCAAUUUUUAAUUGAGUGUGUUGUCUUUAUUGGUACUUCUAAGCUCUGAAAGCAACGAACGUGACCGCAACCCUUUGUUGCCUUUACUAAAAUUUUAUUUUUUUUAUAAAAUAUAAAUUAAAAAAGGCUUUUUAAACUAGGGGGACCGCUGUAAUCUUUUUAAACCAGAGGAAGGUUGCGGCAAUAACAGGUCUGUGAUGCCCUUAGAUGUUCCGGGCUGCACACGUGCUACAAUGAUUUUUGCAGUGAGCAUCUCAUUUUUAAUACAUCGCUUGCAUGAUGCUUUAUAUUUAAAUUUAUUUUUAUUUAUUUUGUUCAUUUUUGCGCGAUAAAGCCUGCUUCGAAAGUAAGUGGGU
rnacentral:rRNA from 1 species